rnacentral:rRNA from 1 species
AUGAACGCUAGCGGCAGGCUUAACACAUGCAAGUCGAGGGGUAACAGGGAAGCUUGCUUCCGCUGACGACCGGCGCACGGGUGCGUAACGCGUAUAGAACCUACCUUUUACAGAGGGAUAGCCUUUAGAAAUGAAGAUUAAUACCUCAUAGUACUAUAGGUUCGCAUGAAUUUAUAUUUAAAGAUUUAUCGGUAAAAGAUGGCUAUGCGUCCUAUUAGCUAGAUGGUAAGGUAACGGCUUACCAUGGCAACGAUAGGUAGGGGUCCUGAGAGGGAGAUCCCCCAACUGGUACUGAGACACGGACCAGACUCCUACGGGAGCAGCAGUGAGGAAUAUUGG